rnacentral:rRNA from 1 species
GACGGGGGGGGCAAGUGUUCUUCGGAAUGACUGGGCGUAAAGGGCACGUAGGCGGUGAAUCGGGUUGAAAGUGAAAGUCGCCAAAAAGCGGCGGAAUGCUCUCGAAACCAAUUCACUUGAGUGAGACAGAGGAGAGUGGAAUUCCCAGUGUAGCGGUGAAAUGCGUAGAUAUUGGGAGGAACACCAGUGGCGAAGGCGGCUCACUGGACCGGUACUGACGCUGAUGCGCGAAAGCGUGGGGAGCAAACGGG